AACCUAAUACAAAAAUACUUCCUUCUUCCUGCCCUGAGAUCCUGAACCUACAGUUCACAUAAUUUUCACAUAAUUGGGCCUUGUACUUCCAGAAAAUUCAUUUCCCUUGCAAAGCGGUUAGCCAAGCCUAUACUCACAUUUUUCACUCAUACUGUAUUUGAUUUACAUCAACUGAAGGCAAUGGUAAUGUGCAACAGUGACUCUGGAAUUUAAACAGAAACCCACAGGGGAUCUCCGUACUCAGGCCAACUUCCAAAUAUGGGAGAAGAGAAGCAGCCGUAGUAGCCUGGGAAGCCAUCCUCAGCACAGCAAGGGACAAAAUAGUUGGGAGUACAUGAGCUUCUUGGAAUUUGUUCAGAAAGGUAACUGCUGUAAUGCUUUAGUCAGAAUAAAGGAAUGAAAUACAAAUACUGUGAUAGCAGAAAGAAGCAUUGUUGAAUGUUAACUGCCUAGGGCCUGAACAACAGAAGUGCAGCUAUUUUUUUUCAAUUCUGUUUUUCAGUAUGUAAUAGUGCACUUACCCCAAAUCCAAAUGUAUAUCCAUACUCUGCCGAUAUCAAUCUGUUGGGUUUGCAGAUUUAUCAGGAAGACUCAUAAGAAGAACACUUGUGAGACGAUUAGUGGGGCUUACUACCAGGUCUGGUUGAAAUUUUGCCAGAACAGUCUCUCUCAACAGAACUAAAUUCACCAAUAUUUAGACCCCACAUUCUGCAAAUCCUUAUUCAAAGGAUUUAACAAGAGCUUUUAAUAUACAUUUAGCAUAUGGAGGACCUUUAAAAAAAGCCCCAAGCAAGCAGAGGAUCAACAGAUUCUAGCUACUAGCUGGUAGAUUCACUCGUAUUUAGCUGUUGCAGGUUUUUGAGGCUUCUGACUUCCAUAAGUAGUGGUAGCUGUGUGUCAGCCAGGCACAUAGAGCAGCAGUGGCCUACAGGCCAAAAGAGUACGGAGCCAAACCAGCAAGGCCAAGUCUGACAGAGUACAGGGCUGCAAAGUGGUUCACAUUUCUAGUGAGCCACUGUUUACAGAAUACUUUGUAAGUGGUACCCUUAUUGGCUGCAUUAUAGACAAGUUUUAGGACCUUUUGUUAGCAUGAGGAUAAAUCUGGCUUUUAGAAACAACCAAGGAAAAUGAAGCCAAUGUCUUACAAAUUGAAAUGCCAUUAGAAAAGCCCUCUUAUGGGGGUGGGCUUUUUAUGAAGGAAAAUAAUUUGUAGGCUAGUUUCCCUUACUCAUUGUGAAAGAGCUGUGAAUUUUCUAGAAUAGCUCAGGCAAGAACGGCUGUAGAAGAGAUAGGGUGCUGCUUGUCCUGGGAGACUCUGUUAAGGUGAAGGUAAAAGAUUCUGUUUUUCUUUCCAAACUCCCCAUAAGAAGAAUCCUGUGUUCUGUUAGCAAAAGAGAUUUGAUUGCCCUGUGUUUCAAACUUCUGAAACUCACUCUGCCAUCUGAACAAUUGAAUUUGAGUUUCUUCAGGGUGGUAUAUUAUGGUGGUAUGUAUGAGAGUAUAUUAUUUAUGUGUCAUUAGGCAAAACCAUCAACAUUUCUCUCUGUGGGUUCUAAAAAACUUCUUGUAUGCCUUCGUGCCUCUCUACCACUACCACCACGACCAAAAUAACGAUACCAUGUGCAAGUUGUAAUGGGAAGGACUUCUAAAUUUCAAGUCAUAAGUCUCUCAAAUUAGGACUUUAAUGUUUAAGUUGAGUCAUAGUGAUUCAGCUAAUGUGCCAUCAGUGAAAGAUUUAGUAGGAGUGCUACUAAAUUACACCAUUAGCUUUCAGAGCUGUCCGAAAUAGGAAAUGUUGCAACUUUGAUUAAGUUGUUUCUGUCUAACUGCAGAAAUUUUGUACUUCAUUCUGUAAGAAGACAUUGCUUUGGCUGCUGUUUGAAAGAUGUAUUUUACCCCUCAAAAGGCUUAAACCCUAAUGCCUGAUUUGGUUCCACUUUUCAUCUUCCAUCGUGUACAUGAUCAUGGGGUCCAAAAAUGAGUUCAUAAACACGUAAAAGGCUGUCCCUCACAGUACAUGCUUAAAAUGCUCAGACUUUAGUUGGAGAUUAAAAAAAAUAAUUGUGCUAUCCAUAGCUGUGAAUGACAAAAUAAAGGAUUUUGAAUGUUAAGUGCUUACAACUUUAGUAGAGAGAUAUUUUCACUUUAUCAUCAUAAAAAGAUGUUAUUGAUUCCAAAAGUUUAUAUGGAACAAAGUUCAAAGUAAAAAAUGUUCAAAAGCUAUUUUAACAAAUUCACAGUAGAUAAUCCCAUCAGGGUCUAUUAAACGCAGAGACACUACUUCUGGCUCAAGAAGAUACUCAGCUUUAGAUUUUUCAGCUGGACACCUGUACUUUGGGAAUUGUUAUUUUAUUCUUGCCCUGCUUUUGUACACUUUCACAGACAUCUACUGUUGACCACUGUCAGAGCUGGGACAGAGUGCUAGAUGACACACAUGGCCUGAUUCUGUGUGUCUUUAUGUUGUUGCUGUAAAAUGGUUCUGCUCUAACACCAAAAUUGGUGUCAGGGUAAUGAGAAACUUCAGAGUGAUGAUGUGCGAUACGGAAGUAACUUGUUAUCUGCUGUUGCUGUUACUUCCUCUUCUGUAUGACUGAGCUUUUCUUCUGCUAGGAUCGACUCAUCUCUGUUACAACAAAGAUACAUGUUGUAUAAACACAGCACUGUUCCUUUUCAAAAUUAGCGAUAAUGUGAGGGAAAACAGAAUGCAUGCUGCAUCAUCAUGUCCUGACCCUAUGGACAACCAUGGACACAGUGAUCUAGGAGGCACAGCUGAGGGUCAGGUCAUGGCGUGGCCUUGCAUCUAGUCAUGUGGCAGAGACUGCCUGCUGGAGAAACCUCUAACUGCCACACAUGCUUUUUAGCACUCAAAACAUGAGCUGUAAGAAGAAAAUUGUACAUAUAUUAAGGAUACCCAUUUGUGUACUCCCGUGCACCUUAUUUCCAUGCUUAUGACACUCUAUGUGAGAUACAAUCCUUGCAUCUCUUUCCUGUAAGCUGGGAGUAAACUUGUGGCACCUCUCUUCCAGAAAAGAAGCCUGGAAACAACCUCCCAUGGCUUCAUGCAAACCUAUUUUCUUUUCAAUUUCUAACCCUUUCUAACUAACAUAGCCUAAAAAUUCCAUGAGUCUUUAAUUAGGUUUGCAUUGCUCUUGGAGACUGGGAGAGAGGACAGAGAGAACAUAAUGCAAUAGAAACCCAAGGAAAAUUAGAUCUGAAAAUGAGGUAAAGAAAACAGACUCUGAACAAAGGACUGAGACAGGGAGAAAAAUUCUUUUGGGAAAAUCAUAUAAGCGUUCUACAGACAGGACUGCUUCAAGUAUCCGAGGGCUUUCAUGAAGGGAGAAGAUUUUAUUUUGUCCAUGAAAUGACGGUGAGCAUAGACUUUCUUUUAGCAAAGGAAACAUGCCUCCUAUAUUUUAAUUUCAAAGUAAUAGUAAAGGAGAGGAAGAAUAUGGGUUUAAACUGAAGCAAAACAUUUUAAGAAAUCGCCCUGCAUCUGAGCAGAUACAGUUCAUGCAUCCACAGCACAACACCCUUGGGAGGUUAGCUUCCUUCAGCUCCCAUAGGAAACCAGUACUUCUAUAGCUUUCAGGAAGAGUUAAAAAUAGCACCACUAAGUGUAUUUCCAAAUGUGACUAUCAGUAGGGAAGGCCCUACGCUGCGCUUGCUGUUGUCGGUAAAGCUCUGUACAGGCAAUGUGUUUCUGAGAGCUGGUUGUGGUACUUGAUGGCUACAAAGUGUAUCACCUCGGCACAGUUGCCUUCCAGAUCUUGCAGCGGAGAGGAUCCUGGGGAUAACACAGUGCUGGACACUGGACUCUGGUUCUCCUUUCAGUGGUCUAGUUGCAAAAUAUGUGAUCAACAUCAGUUUAAGAUCUGAAAUAUAAUGAGAAUCAUGGUUCACAGAUUUGCAUGGCUCAAACCCUAAAAGCAAGUACCUUUCAGGUGGUUAUAGAAAGGGCCUCCAGGGCUCCUGACUCUUAACAGGCUGAGGACCCCUUUGAUUGCAUAUCAAACGUCCAAUGCCAAGAUGAGGUAUAAAUGUUAAUUGCCACAUGUUAUGGUAGGAAGUAAACCUGCCAGUGCAGGAACAGAUGGCACUACAUGAGGACUUUCUUACACGGAAUGCAAAAGAGAGAUUAUGAUGUCCAGGACACUGAUCAGCUGGGGAACACAACAGAUAACAUGGUCUUUGGAUUUGUGGAUUUGUAUUUGCAGAUAGGCUUUACUGAAGAAAAUUUUUGUUCCAUUCCACACUAGCAAACAAGUGUUGUUAUUCUUCUAAAAAAAAAAAAAAAAAAGAAUGCAAAAGGAGCACAAGUAUUUCUUUAA